rnacentral:rRNA from 1 species
AGAGUUUGAUCCUGGCUCAGGACGAACGCUGGCGGCGUGCUUAACACAUGCAAGUCGAACGGAAAGGCCCUUCGGGGUACUCGAGUGGCGAACGGGUGAGUAACACGUGGGUGAUCUGCCCUGCACUUUGGGAUAAGCCUGGGAAACUGGGUCUAAUACCGAAUAGGACCGCGCUCUUCAUGGGGUGUGGUGGAAAGCUUUUGCGGUGUGGGAUGGGCCCGCGGCCUAUCAGCUUGUUGGUGGGGUAAUGGCCUACCAAGGCGACGACGGGUAGCCGGCCUGAGAGGGUGACCGGCCACACUGGGACUGAGAUACGGCCCAGACUCCUACGGGAGGCAGCAGUGGGGAAUAUUGCACAAUGGGCGCAAGCCUGAUGCAGCGACGCCGCGUGAGGGAUGACGGCCUUCGGGUUGUAAACCUCUUUCAAUAGGGACGAAGCGCAAGUGACGGUACCUAUAGAAGAAGGACCGGCCAACUAUGUGCCAGCAGCCGCGGUAAUACGUAGGGUCCGAGCGUUGUCCGGAAUUACUGGGCGUAAAGAGCUCGUAGGUGGUUUGUCGCGUUGUUCGUGAAAACUCACAGCUUAACUGUGGGCGUGCGGGCGAUACGGGCAGACUAGAGUACUGCAGGGGAGACUGGAAUUCCUGGUGUAGCGGUGGAAUGCGCAGAUAUCAGGAGGAACACCGGUGGCGAAGGCGGGUCUCUGGGCAGUAACUGGCGCUGAGGAGCGAAAGCGUGGGUAGCGAACAGGAUUAGAUACCCUGGUAGUCCAA